ACGAGCGGCGGACGGGUGAGUAACGCAUAGGAAUUUACCCGAUAGUGGGGGAUAACCUGGGGAAACCCAGGCUAAUACCGCAUACGUCCUACGGGAGAAAGGGGGCUUUGGCUCCCGCUAUCGGAUGAGCCUAUGCCGGAUUAGCUGGUUGGUGAGGUAAUGGCUCACCAAGGCGACGAUCCGUAGCUGGUCUGAGAGGAUGAUCAGCCACAUCGGGACUGAGACACGGCCCGAACUCCUACGGGAGGCAGCAGUGGGGAAUAUUGGACAAUGGGGGCAACCCUGAUCCAGCCAAGCCGCGUGUGUGAAGAAGGCCUUCGGGUUGUAAAGCACUUUCAGUGAGGAAGAACGCCUGGCGGUUAAUACCCGCCAGGAAAGACAUCACUCACAGAGGAAGCACCGGCUAACUCCGUGCCAGCAGCCGCGGUAAUACGGAGGGUGCAAGCGUUAAUCGGAAUUACUGGGCGUAAAGCGCGCGUAGGUGGCUUGAUAAGCCGGUUGUGAAAGCCCCGGGCUCAACCUGGGAACGGCAUCCGGAACUGUCAAGCUAGAGUGCAGGAGAGGAAGGUAGAAUUCCCGGUGUAGCGGUGAAAUGCGUAGAGAUUGGGAGGAAUACCAGUGGCGAAGGCGGCCUUCUGGACUGACACUGACACUGAGGUGCGAAAGCGUGGGUAGCAAACAGGAUUAGAUACCCUGGUAGUCC
rnacentral:rRNA from 1 species